UCGAUGGCGGUUUUGGGGCACCGUCUACGGCGGCGGCGCAAAGGUCUAGAAAGGCAUCGUGAUUAUGUUAUAUUGUGAAAAACCUAGGGUUACAUUAUCAUUUUGAGCUGCAUAAAGGUUUUGGGUGAUAUUUAUUCUAUUUCCUCGAUGUGAAUUGAAGUUAUAAUUUCAUUAAGGAUUUGGAGAGUCAGCCGGCGCCUCGGGUGAUAGCGGCUUUCGAUAGUGAUUCCGGUAACGAUAGAAUUUCUACAGAAAGGGUGUGGGUUCGAGUCCUCUUUUGGCUUUUUUUAUCCCGUAUUUAUUUGUGCGACACGUGUUACGAUGCGAGAGAGAGGGGGCAGCACCGGCCGUUUUCACUAUACAGGACUAAAGUUGAAAGUAAAAAAAAGUUGUGAGAGUAGAUCGUAAAAGAUAAAAAGGGGGAUAACUUUUUAGCACUCACUGGUAGGAGAGGUCUUGAAACAACGUCAUGUACAAUUGAAGAAAAUGAUUUGUAGAGUUUCUUUUAUUUAUUUUGAAUCAUAUGCACUAGAUUUGUCCGCUUUGUCAGACGCCUUUUAUCUCCAGUGAAGUAAUAAACCUACACUAUACUACAAAGUUUUGUGCUUCAUUACAACAAGUAGAUGGGAUAUUUGAAAUAAAGACAAAGUUCAUACAGGGAUUCCCUGUUUUUGGUUCUAAUGGAACUGUUUGAAAGCAAUGUAAUAAUAUAUAGUAAAGUAACCAUUAUAAGCUUUAAAAAGGUCCUUUUUUAUAUAUCCUAAAAAUUAACUUUUUUUUAUCUCAUCAUAUCAAUCUUUUAAUCAUCUCCCCAUUAAAUACUUCCUUUCUCAAAACGCAUUUUGACCAAUUUGGAUAACGGGUCAAAACAGGUUUGGAUUUUGGCAGCUCCAGUGGGCAUCGAAUACCUAAUGUGUUCAGGCCUUCAUCAAAGCUCAAAGCUGGUCAACGUGACUAUUUGGAAGUCGGUGAGUAUUUGGGAAGGCUAUGAAAACGAUUAAGAUAAAGAUGGCAAAAAGAGAAGAGACACAUCCAAGUUCUAUGAU
rnacentral:lncRNA from 1 species